CUCCUGCUGAGAGUGAGCACUUCACUACACACACCGUCGCGGAGCACGGCUGCAGCCCUCUUAUGAAGAAACAAUAAUACCCUCCGCAUAGACGAUGCUAAGAUCUUUAUCUACUCUUUCAAAUCCUGUCAAGACCUCGUGUGGUUAUGUCUCCCCUUUCUUCUCCCGUCAGGCAACAUGGGAAACUAACGUUUUCAACCUCUCGUCAUAGUCCACAUUGGCUAACUAUGGCGGCCAUAAUGGCCUAGCUGACAUCAGUGACAUACUACUACAUAGAAAGCCGCUUAUUAGGUGGAGCAUUUCGGGCAAAUUAAGUCGGUAUUGUCCCAUGAUGCGAUCCACACCAGACCAGUCGACUAACACCCAGGUACCCAUUAUUACUAAAGGGUGAACAUAGACAAUCGGUGUAAGGAAACACGCCCAGUGUUUCAACCCUCGCUUAACUGUUGUCUUUUGCUGCAUUUUUAAUACUUUCUAUGAUCUCUGGUACCAGAGGAUCGGCGGUUGGUCGACCCUGAUUGGAGACUCUUGUACUUCAAUUUCCUCGUUGCUUCCCACCGAGCGAGUGCUUCCCACCGAGCGAGUGCUUCCCACCGAGCGAGUGCUUCCCACCGAGCGAGUGCUUCCCACCGAGCGAGUGCUCCCUACCGAGCGAGUGCUGCCCAGCACUACACACUGCUACCAGGCUACUGAAUAUUAAAACUAAUCUAAAUAAUAAUUUGAUUAGUUUAAAAUUGCCCAGCUCGUGCCGUGUGGUAACGACACACACACACACACACACACACACACACACACACACACACACACACACACGUAGCCAUGAAUUUCUUGUUUCUAACAAACAAUUCAGUGUCUCUACUGCGUUUAUUUUUUUUAGAGACAUUACAAAUAUUUCUAUUAGUUUUAAAAUCCAGUUUUAUUUUGCCGACUUUUUUUCCAUGUAUCAGCUUUUUAAAACUGAAAUCAGCUUUAUCUUAGCUUCCUCAGUACCGUGGCCUUCAUAGUCCAUGUCUCAGUAAUGUGUUUAUAUCACAUACUGGUUUAGAAAACAUAGAAAGCGUUUCGGUCCCAUGACCGAAACGUUUUCUAAUAAACAUGUCCUAGUGUUUGUUUACGUGUCCUUCUAAACUAAUUUGUAGGUAUCUAUUACCAAGUUUAUACCGUCUCACUUAGCCUCCAGGAAUGUAUGAAAAGAAGUCUUACAAUUUAAUUAAGCUCUUCCAGUUUGGUGCCUGGAAGCUGUUGAAGAGUUCUUAUCCAAGAAAUUAGAGCAACCCUCCCUCGGAUCAAACUUGAUUGCCCUCCCACCCUUAUUCGCAAUGGUCUGUAUGAUCCUAACGGUUUUAUCGCUUCCUUAGGAAUAAAAAAAUUCGUCGUAAAUUAAGAGGUAGUAUUACGAAGCAUCUUAAACGGUCGUGAAAUUGUAGAUUAUUCCAUUCCGAUAUUCUCCAGACGUGACCAGUUCACGAGUGCUGUUCCAUAACUCUC